AAGGCAAUAUUUAGAGCAAAGAACAGUAGUUAGAAUUGCUAUGGAGGCAGGAAAACUUCUUGUUAAAAAUGAGUGCAAAGGCUAUUAUCAAUAUCCAAAAAAAAAAUCCUCCCAAAACAAGUGGAAUGUGUCGGUAUUUAUAGCAAUGAACUAGGGUUCUUGGCUCAAGUUUGGGCGGGAUUUUAAGAAACAAAAUAGUCGUUUGAAUUUUGAAAUCUCUGCUUGAUGAUCCUUUCUCUGAAAUCUCAAAAGUUCUUUGGCAUUUUCUUGACCAAAUUAAAGAAGAGAGAUGUAAAUGAGGGGAGGAAGAAAGGGACGUCUGACAUUGUAGAAGAAAAAGAUGAAAAUUUCACCAAAACAAGGCUGGUGAUUUUUGUCCUUGGUUGAGGAUUAAUGGAGUCUUCUCCAAAAGAGGAAAGGGGAGAAGAAAACAUAAGGGGCAGAUGGGUAAGUCUUAUUAGGUUCAGCUG
rnacentral:lncRNA from 1 species